rnacentral:rRNA from 1 species
UACGGAGGGGGCUAGCGUUAUUCGGAAUUAUUGGGCGUAAAGGGCGCGUAGGCGGCCCGGUAAGUCAAAGGUGAAAUCCCUCGGCUCAACUGAGGAACUGCCUUUGAAACUGUCGGGCUUGAGGCCGGGAGGGGGUAGCGGAAUUCCCAGUGUAGCGGUGAAAUGCGUAGAUAUUGGGAAGAACACCAGUGGCGAAGGCGACACACUGGCCCGUUACUGACGCUGAGGUGCGAAAGCGUGGGGAGCAAACAGG